rnacentral:rRNA from 1 species
AUUGAACGCUGGCGGCAGGCCUAACACAUGCAAGUCGAGCGGCGGCGGACGGGUGAGUAAUGCCUAGGAAUCUGCCUGGUCGUGGGGGAUAACGUCCGGUAACGGGCGCUAAUACCGCAUACUAUCAGCUGUGCACAGAUGGGUUUAGCUAGUAGGUGGGGUAACGGCUCACCUAGGCGACGAUCCCUAGCUGGUCUGAGAGGAUGACCAGCCACACUGGAACUGAGACACGGUCCAGACUCCUACGGGAGGCAGCAGUGGGGAAUAUUGCACAAUGGGCGCAAGCCUGAUGCAGCCAUGCCGCGUGUGUGAAGAAGGCCUUCGGGUUGUAAAGCACUUUCAGUGGGGAGGCGUUACCCGCAGAAGAAGCACCGGCUAACUCCGUGCCAGCAGCCGCGGUAAUUC